CCCUUAGAUGUUCUGGGCCGCACGCGCGCUACACUGAUGCAUUCAACAAGCCUAGCCUUGACCGAGAGGUCCGGGUAAUCUUUGAAACUGCAUCGUGAUGGGGCUAGAUUAUUGCAAUUAUUAAUCUUCAACGAGGAAUGCCUAGUAAGCGUGAUUCAUCAAAUCGCGUUGAUUACGUCCCUGCCCUUUGUACACACCGCCCGUCGCUCCUACCGAUUGAAUGUGUUGGUGAGGAGCUCGGAUUGGCAGCAGUUGGUGGUUCGCCACCGGCUAUUGCUGAGAAGUCCUCCAAACCGCNCNAUUUAGNGGAAGGAGAANUCGUANCA
rnacentral:rRNA from 1 species